rnacentral:rRNA from 1 species
UACGUAGGGUGCAAGCGUUGUCCGGAAUUAUUGGGCGUAAAGAGCUCGUAGGCGGUCCGAUAAGUCGGCUGUGAAAGUCAGGGGCUCAACCCUUGGAAGCCGGCCGAUACUGUCGGACUAGAGUCCGGAAGAGGCGAGUGGAAUUCCCGGUGUAGCGGUGAAAUGCGCAGAUAUCGGGAGGAACACCAAUGGCGAAGGCAGCUCGCUGGGACGGUACUGACGCUGAGGCGCGAAAGCGUGGGGAGCAAACAGG